AAGUCGUAACAAGGUUUCCGUAGGUGAACCUGCGGAAGGAUCAUUAUUACGUAUCCAACGUAUCAAACCAAAACUUGUGAACCGUUUCCCAUCCAGUGAGGGUUUCUGCGAGUCUUCGGAACUUUUAAAUAAUGCACAGUGAAGCGAGUGUUGACCCUUUGGGCCAGCUCGUUGAACUAAGACUCGGUCCUGGAAACAAAUUCAACAAAUUCAUUUUGUUGUUCUUGUUCCAGCUUAUUGGAUGUGGUUGUUUCCUAAAGUUCCUCUCCUGUGCGAACAACUAUUAACCCCUUGUACAAAAUUGAACUAAUUUACGGAGAAGACAAUUCUCUGGAUAACCGAAAUUUAAGAAACAACUCUUAACAACGGAUAUCUUGGUUCUC
rnacentral:misc_RNA from 1 species